UACGGGGGGGCUAGCGUUGUUCGGAAUUACUGGGCGUAAAGCGCGCGUAGGCGGUUUUGCAAGCCAGAGGUGAAAUGCCUGAGCUCAACUUAGGAAUUGCCUUUGGGACUGCGAGGCUUUGAGGACGGGAGAGGUGAGUGGAAUUCCCAGUGUAGAGGUGAAAUUCGUAGAUAUUGGGAAGAACACCGGUGGCGAAGGCGGCUCACUGGCCCGUUUCUGACGCUGCAGCGCGAAAGCGUGGGGAUCAAACAGG
rnacentral:rRNA from 1 species